CGGCGGACAGGUUAGGUUGGACGGAAACCGUCAUAGUUGACGGGGCAGUAUGUGGUUGGCUCGUGCGAGGUUGGUAAGCGGUGGGUGGCGAGUCGUCGCGACCAUCUGUGAUUGCCUGUUCUUUGACCGUGUGGUGAACCCCCCAUCCGUUUCAACGAUCUCGGACACAACCGAUCACUCCAAGACGUCUGAGUUAAAGACAAGACUACUGACGGUAGACGCGAACCCGAGUCAGAUUAGCUCGAUCCGCAGCAUGUUGUAUAAGGAUACAUGUAACUUUAUGCACCGGGACAAGUCACAUGUGACCAGUGGUGGGUGGUUGGCAGCCCAAAACGACGGCUAAGCUUACUCCGGACCGAGUCAGAGUUCUUCUAUCUUUGAAGCGGUCCACCGUGUCACCCCAACACUUACUGAAUCCUUCGCACAAAGCUCAAAUCGGUACACGCCAUCCAUUUCUCACCACCCAAAUUAUAUGACUCGUCAUACGGCCAACGAAUGGUCGAUACGAUUGCAGGCUGUCUACUUGUUUAAUGCACGCUCACCUAAUUCCGCACUCCAUUGCAUCCACAGGGUGGUAGUGUGAUCGCCAACUAAUACACUUGGCCUGCUUCACCUACCUCUCCCAUCUCCACCACAUAGCAUGACAUACUAAUGCUAUCAUCUUGGAAUCGGCUGACGUCCGGUGCCUGCCUUCCACAGCUCGAUCAACUUUGUAUGGAGAAUCGAAGCCAGCUGCUGGGAUCUCAAUCGAUGGAAGGGGAAAAAGAAGAUGCAAAGCUGUUGCUGAUUUAAACUGGUUCAUUAAAGAGAAUGAGUCUACACAAGAAGAUGAAUCCAAUUGCUUCAGAUCUAACCAGGUAGGAUGUUGGCUUUUGACCUGUCGACACCACUGUGGGGUCGCAUGCUCCGAGAAUGUCGUAGUGGUUUAGGUGAAGGAGGAGUUUGGGAUUGUGUGCAACAGAGUUUAG
rnacentral:lncRNA from 1 species